rnacentral:rRNA from 1 species
GACGAACGCUGGCGGCGUGCUUAACACAUGCAAGUCGAACGGAAAGGCCUGCUUUCCCUUGUGGAUUGCGGGUACUCGAGUGGCGAACGGGUGAGUAACACGUGAGUGAUCUGCCCCCAACUUGGGUAUAAGCCUGGGAAACUGGGUCUAAUUCCCGAUAGGACUGCAGGGUGGUGCCUGUGGUGGAAAACGAUUUUCUAGUGGUUGGGGAUGAGCUCGCGGCCUAUCAGCUUGUUGGUGGGGUAAUGGCCUACCAAGGCGGCGACGGGUAGCCGGCCUGGGAGGGUGGACGGCCACAGUGGGACUGAGAUACGGCCCAGACUCCUACGGGAGGCAGCAGUGGGGAAUAUUGCACCAUGGGCGGAAGCCUGAUGCAGCGACGCCGCGUGGGGGAUGACGGCCUUCGGGUUGUAAACUCCUUUCGACCGCGAGGAAGCCACCUGGUUGGAAGGGUGGUGACGGUAGUGGUAGAAGAAGCACCGGCUAACUACGUG